rnacentral:ncRNA from 1 species
AAAAAAUUCUUUAUGGUUUGUAAAUUUAUUAUAAAUUUAUUUUACAUAUAAAUUUUAGUGUUAAAUAUUAAUUAUUUAAAUAAUAAUUAUUUAUUUUGUAGUAAUUAAUAUUAAAUUAUUUAAGGAAUUAAGAUUUAGUAAUAUUUAAAUUAAUAACAAAUUUUGUGCCAGCAGUUGCGGUUAAACAAAAAUUAAAUUAAAUUUUAUUAGUAAUUAAUUAAUAAAAUAAUUUUUAUAAUAAAAAUUUUAAAUUAUUAAGUGAAAUUUUAAUUUAAUUAAAAUUUAUGAUUAAAUUAUGAUUUAAUAAAUUUUUUAAAAAACUAGGAUUAGAUACCCUAUUAUUAAAAUUUAAAUUUAUAAUACUGAAAUAGUAGAUAAUUAUUUAUUGAAACUUAAAUAAUUUGGCGGUAUUUUAGUUCAUUUAGAGGAAUCUGUUUAUUAAUUGAUAAUCCACGAAUAAAUUUACUUAAUUUAAUAUUUUGUAUAUCGUUGUUAAAAAAAUAUUUUUAAAAAAAAUUAAUAUUUAAAAAUUAUAAAUUAAAUUAAAUCAGAUCAAGAUGCAGAUUAUAAUUAAGAAUAUAAUGGAUUACAAUAAAUUUAUUUAUAUGGAUAUUAAUUUGUAAAAAUUAAUUGAAGGUGGAUUUAAAUGUAAUUUUAUUUAAUUUAUUAAAAUGAUUAAAAAUUAAAAUAUGUACAUAUUGCCCGUCACUUUCAUAUAAUAUAAUUAUAAAUAUAAUUAUAAUAAAUUGAAAUAAGUCGUAACAAAGUAGAGGUACUGGAAAGUGUUUCUAGAAAGAA